GAGUUAUCUGAACCUUCGGGGGACGAUAACGGCGUCGAGCGGCGGACGGGUGAGUAAUGCCUAGGAAAUUGCCCUGAUGUGGGGGAUAACCAUUGGAAACGAUGGCUAAUACCGCAUGAUGCCUAUGGGCCAAAGAGGGGGACCUUCGGGCCUCUCGCGUCAGGAUAUGCCUAGGUGGGAUUAGCUAGUUGGUGAGGUAAGGGCUCACCAAGGCGACGAUCCCUAGCUGGUCUGAGAGGAUGAUCAGCCACA
rnacentral:rRNA from 1 species